rnacentral:rRNA from 1 species
UACGGAGGAUGCGAGCGUUAUCCGGAUUUAUUGGGUUUAAAGGGUGCGUAGGCGGGUCGGCAAGUCAGCGGUGAAAUGUCGGGGCUCAACUUCGGAAUUGCCGUUGAUACUGCUGGUCUUGAAUACGGUCGAGGCAGGCGGAAUGUGUAAUGUAGCGGUGAAAUGCUUAGAUAUUACACAGAACACCUAUUGCGAAGGCAGCUUGCUAGGCCGGGAUUGACGCUGAGGCACGAAAGCGUGGGGAU